CUGAAAAGCUUGUUAGAAAUGCGGAAAUAAAAAUCAUGUCGCCGAGUGGUUUGAAGAAUUUUUGUUCAAAUGAUCUCGAAUCAGCAUUUGUCCGUUUAUCACUGUCAUUACCUGUAUCACCUCUGCCUACGCCUACUUCACCUGAAGAUAGAAACAAUGGUGAGCGUACAGGUGGGCUGAAGAGACUACGGUCUGAGGACGAUAUUGUGACUUCAGAAGAAAAGAAAACAAAGUGCGAUGAAUCAGGAAUAGAGAAUGAGAAAAAAAAAUCCCCUAUCAUUAACUACAACAUUUGCAGCAUAGCAAAAAGACAUUUAUUCGGAAGAAAAACUGUGAAUAAUGUGAAGAAUGAGGACAGCCCCCCCUUUUAUGGGUUUGAAAGAGAUUGUGAGGUGAAAAAAUUAGAAGUUACCAAUAAUAUAAGGAAAAACGGAACAGUUCACGAAAUGGAAGACAGUGCCACGAGAAAGUUGUUACAGGAAAAAGCAGACUUGGAGUUUGCUAAAAAGUUGCAAGAGGAAUUGAAUAGGGGUGUGCACAAUACAAGGAGUAGUCGUAAUGUGGGUAGAUCGAAAAGGCAGACUACUCUCGAUGAAAUGAUCAAAAGUCCAUAUAGGGUUAAGUAACUUUCAAAUUGAUAUGAAGUUUAUAUUGUUGCGAUAUUUAUGUUACGGUUUUUAGUCACAGAAACAUUGUUUAUUUCAAAUAUUAUGGAUAACUUCCGUUUUGUAUUUAUGUAUGAUAGAGGUAAGUUGCUUUUUAACAUGUUUGUGAUGUUGGAAACUCAAGUUACUCGCGAAGAAAUCGGACUGAAUGUAUGUACAUCAGAUAUGCAAUAACUUCGGAUAUGGAAGGGUAUCCAAAUAAAUUUUAGUUUCGGCUGGAUGUUUUUGGGAAUAGUUUGAUUCUCUUUGAACGAUCAUAAAAUUGGCUGUUACAAAGAAUGGUAUCUGAGGAGCAAUUAGCCUUGAAAAAAAAUGAAUUAUUCAUUUGAAUUACCCAAUCUCAGGGAUCAAGAAUACUCAAUGAUAGUGGUUUCUAUCCUAUCAUUCAUCUCUCGAAGGGCAAUUUCAAUCUACAGGUUGCUAUCUUUGUUCUUGCAACAUUCUCAUCUCGAGCACUACUGGUUUACUGUUCCUAAAUUUAGAUUCAUGGCAAUAUUUGUAGAAUCAUUCAACAGCAACUCUGAUUCUCAAGACCUAAAAUUUCACCAGUUUCAACUCCCAUUAAAACCAGUCUGCUGAUAUUAAAUGAGUGUAUAUUUCUUUAGAAUCUGAAAAUCAUUGGAUAUCAAUAAUCAUAGUCCAUAUUCAAUGAUUCUUCAUCAGUAAAUCAUUCUCUGGGACGUAAAAUGUUAUCAUCUAAGAAGGGGUUCAUUUUGAACAACUGCUUUUUGGCAAAAUCUUUCCUAUUUUCAAACGGAGACAUAUUUUGAGGCUCGUUAUAUUGUGUAAAUGUAAAACCCUUGCAUAGUUCCACACCAUUUGGAAAAUCGAUUUCUAUUGGAUAGAGUGACAAACUGUUACUUCCACUAACAAGAAUCAUUUGUACCCUCAAAAUUGGACUGGAUUCCGGGUGAACUCUCAUUUUCAACUUCUCAUUUGCAGUAUUUUCGAUAUAUUGCAUAACGAUUUAUUCAAAUUCUUGAGUGAUUUUUUAGUCUCAGUGACAGUUUGAAAAUAUUUGUCAUUUUUAUGAUUGAUGCAAACAUGAAUCUAAUCAAAUUAAAUUUGGCGUCAGCUGUAGGAAUUCGAUUUAUGAAAGUACUUUAUAUAAACAUUCCUAUGGCUAGGAUCAACUUUGAAACAGUUUAUAAGUGGUGUGAAUGAUAUUUCCAUUGUGCAAAUUUACCAUGUUUUCGAUUUGCCAUCAUCACUGAAUGUUAUUGUUUCCAAGAGUGUCUAGUAUUCACAAAGCAUUCCAAGAAAUUCUACUGGUUAAUGGAAAAUUGAAUAUUUUCAUGGACGUUCUGUAUAUUCACCUCCCACAGUCUGAAAAAUAUGAGAAUUGUAAUGGAGAACUUCACACAAGUGUAGAAAGGGUAAAAGAAGGUCGAUAAAAUUUGAUUUUCCUCCACAAAAAUGACUUUCGUUCAGUAAAAAUAAAUAACAACGAUCCAGUUUGAGAUGAGAAUCACUAGUCUUCAAUUAAAUUUUUGUGUGAUUUCCCUGGAAAGACAUCAGUUCAAUUUCCUUUGAAUUGAUUACUUCAGUUCUAUAAAUUGUUCGACAAUAUAAAAACAUUUGUAUCAUGAUUAUUAAAAAUUUUCACAGUAUAAACUUUAUUUCAAUAUGUGUUUCAACUCAUAGUAGAUUCCUCAGUUGGAUGGCUACCAGCGUAGUGAAACAUAUAUAUGGAAUUCUAUUCUGAAGAUUUGGAACUAUUAUUAUGAAUAGUGUUAUUUUCACCAAGUAAUGGGCCAGUGUGUUCAAAAAUUAUGAAAAGCGAAUCAAAAACGAAAUAUUCAGUUAUUUAAUGAAAUAUCCACAUUAAAUGAAAGUUAAGUACUUUAUUUACCAUUGAGUCAAGGUAUUUACUCUUUUUUAAAGGGACAUAAUUUUUUAGUUUCCAAUCUAGCUGUAAGUACAUCCAGUUCGUCUAUUUCAGCUCUGCCAUAAAACAACAUAACUUUUUGGAGUAUUUUGUGUGUAAGAAUGAAUAUUUUCAGUUUACGUUUUCAGAUGGAAUACCCAUUGAUUUGUUUUAAAAUCGAUUAUGUCGUCUGUCCAGUCUUUUGAUAUUGAAUCGAAAUAAUUCUUGAAACUGCAAGUUUCAAUUAGAAAUUGGUUAUAUUUGAGUUCUUUCAGAAUUGUUAUUUUAUUUUAUUACAGAUAUCUUACUGUGAUAUCACAGCAGUUGUUUUAUUUUUUGAAUAAAAGUCCGAGAAAUCAA
rnacentral:lncRNA from 1 species